UGGGGGAUAUGGCUGUUUCUCUUGGCUUCUGACUCCAUUGUCCCGUCCUGAUUCCCCUGCUGAACACAAUUACAAUCAUGCACAUAAGGGCACUCGGAAUGUGAUAGAAAGAUGUUUUGGAGUACUGAAAUCUAGGUUUCGGUGUCUUGAUAAGUCUGGUGGCCUUUUGUUGUAUAGUCCCUUAAAGGUGACUAGGAUUGUGUUCUGCUGCCAUUUUCUUCAUAACAUGUGUUUGCAACAACAUCUGCCACAUGUUGAUGAGGAGAAGGAGGAGGAUGAAGAAAACAGACAGCAAGUAGACGAGUUAGAGUCAUCUGGCAACACUUGGAGUACAGAUAUAGGGAGGCAGGUAAGAAUGAACAUCAACAACUGAUGGCGACUUUUUGGGGGGCACUUUCGAUGCUGAUGUGCCUUUCCCUGUGACGUUUGUCCGUGUCCAGCUGGAUCGCCUUGGUGGGGAGGCAGCUGAGGGGCUUGAGGUUCCCGCGUUGGCCGACUCUCCAAAAGUUGUAAUGGUGGCCUUGAGGACACAUUUAAUAUACGUUGUUGAAGUGGUGACUCGUGUUGUCUAGUGUGGACAUCCGGACGGGGUCUCUUGUGGGCCAUGUGUUUUUGCGUGGACGCCUCCUUCUGUGAAUGUGCUGUUGUGUGGAUGUUCCUAUACAAAAUAAAACAUUAAUGUUUUGCCAAAACAUUUGCACACAUAAUAUGUCUAUAAAUUGUUGCUUUACCUGCUUCACCAUCAUCAUCAUCUAGGGCUUGAGUGGUGGGAGAGCAGCCUGUUGCUAUUUUUUUGGACACUGUGAAGAUAUGACAAUUAAGUUUGUUUUUCUAAUACUGUGUUAAUAAAAUGUA